GCUGGGCAUGGUGGCACACGCCUGUAAUCCCAGCGGCUCGGGAGGCUGAGGCAGGAGGACAGUGAGUUCAAAGCCAGCCUCAGCAAUGGUGAGGUGCUAAGCAACACAGUGAGACCUUGUCUCUA
rnacentral:sRNA from 1 species